GGCUGGGGCUCAGUGGUGGAGCACUUGCCUAGCAAGCAUGAAGCCCUGGUUUCAAUCCUCAGCACCA
rnacentral:tRNA from 1 species